rnacentral:rRNA from 1 species
CACGGGGGGAGCAAGCGUUGUUCGGAAUCACUGGGCGUAAAGGGCGUGUAGGCGGUCAAGUAAGUGGAAUGUGAAAGCCCCCGGCUUACCCGGGGAUCUGCAUCCCAAACUGCUUGGCUUGAGUACGGGAGAGGAUAGGGGAAUUCCUGGUGUAGCGGUGAAAUGCGUAGAUAUCAGGAGGAACACCGGUGGCGAAGGCGCCUAUCUGGCCCGAUACUGACGCUGAGGCGCGAAAGUGUGGGGAGCGAACAGG